AAGAUGGACCCGCGUCUGAUUAGCUGUUGGCGGGGUAAAGGCCCACCAAGGCGACGAUCAGUAGCCGGCCUGAGAGGGUGGACGGCCACAUUGGGACUGAGACACGGCCCAGACUCCUACGGAAGGCAGCAG
rnacentral:rRNA from 1 species